CUAUCUGCAGUCGAGCGAGAACCAGGGCUUCGGCCCUGGGGACAGCGGCGAACGGGUGAGUAACACGUGGGUAAUCAACCCCCGACACCGGGAUAGCCCAGGGAAACUUGGAUUAAUACCGGAUGCUCCGUCUGGCCUUCGGGCCGGUCGGAAAAGGGUAGCUUCGGCCUCCGGUCGGGGACGAGCCCGCGGCGGAUUAGCUUGUUGGUGAGGUAAAGGCUCACCAAGGCGACGAUCCGUAGCUGGUCUGAGAGGACGAUCAGCCACACUGGGACUGAGACACGGCCCAGACUCCUACGGGAGGCAGCAGUAGGGAAUCUUGCGCAAUGGGCGAAAGCCUGACGCAGCGACGCCGCGUGAGGGAAGAAGGCCUUCGGGUUGUAAACCUCUUUCAGGAGGGACGAAGCCACUCGGGUUAAUAGCCUAGAGGGUGACGGUACCUCCAGAAGAAGCCCCGGCUAACUACGUGCCAGCAGCCGCGGUAAUACGUAGGGGGCAAGCGUUGUCCGGAUUUAUUGGGCGUAAAGAGCGUGUAGGCGGCCAAGCAGGUCCGCUGUGAAAACUCGAGGCUCAACCUCGAGAGGUCGGUGGAAACCGUUUGGCUAGAGUCCGGAAGAGGAGAGUGGAAUUCCCGGUGUAGCGGUGAAAUGCGCAGAUAUCGGGAAGAACACCCGUGGCGAAGGCGGCUCUCUGGGACGGUACUGACGCUGAGACGCGAAAGCGUGGGGAGCGAACAGGAUUAGAUACCCUGGUAGUCCACGCCGUAAACGAUGGGCACUAGGUGUGGCGGGUAUCGACUCCCGCUGUGCCGAAGCUAACGCAUUAAGUGCCCCGCCUGGGGAGUACGGCC
rnacentral:rRNA from 1 species